ACUUGCUACUCUUAAAAAUUAUCAGGCAAGAUUAAAAAAAAAAAACAAAAACUAUUGGGCAAGAUAAAUAAGUACUAAGGAUAUAAUGUGUAGCCUAAUGACCACAGGUAACACUGCUGUAUGAUAUAUAGGAAAGUUGCAAAGAAAGUAAAUUUUAAGAGUUCUUAUCAGAAGGGAAGAAAAUAAAAAUAUUCCUUGUUUUUAAAAGAAAUUUACUCCAAAGCACUUCUAUCUAUGUAGGUUAUAGCUAUCAAUAUGUACCACGUUAGAGAUUCAAACACAUUUUUUUUAAUGUUUCAAUUCAUUUCAAGUAACAGUAAUAAACCCUUUACAUGUUAACAUAAAUAUGUCUUUGAAAAAUAACCAUUUUCCGAAACAAUGAAAGAUAUUUAAUGAGAAUGUUAAAUUGUAAGCAUUGUCUUACAACUCUUUUUAAAUAAGUUUUAACAGAAAAUAGAUUCUCGUUUCUGAGUACUUGUUGUCUGGGGGAUAUUUUAGCUGAAGUAUGUGAAGAACAUCUGGCUACUUGCAGCUAUAUAGCUGGGAAAGGGAGGAGUAUUUUAAUAGCCUUUUCAGAAAAUUGUAAAUAUUCUUGGAUACCACACCAUGACUUGAUAAAUGGUACUUUCUUUAAGAUGAGUUGCUAUGUGAAAUCCGAAACCGCAUCAGUGAACAUUUCCUAUUAUCUUACAGUAAAAUCCAGUGGUUUACUUUUGACGUUGAAUUGAUAUUUUACCCUUGCGUGAUACAACAUUGGUCAUUUGGAGAAUGCCGGUUCACUGUGCUACAUAGCUCUUCCAAGUGCUGACCGCAUUUCAUUAUACAGUAUCCCCAAAUCACAUUUCUAUAAAUAUCACAGCAGAUCUCAUUAGAAAAGUCCUUUAAGCAUUGGGGAACUGUCAACCUCACCGUGGCAAGUUUUCUAAGACUCUUUUAUCUUGAAAGCUUGAGUUUUAUCAGUUCAUUUUCCUUGAAGUGAUAGGCUUACUUUGUUCAUUUUCAAGAAAAGGUUUGCCAUGUACCCAAACCUGAGUAACCACAGUCUCUUAGUCUUUCUUUCUGGUGAACAUGUUUCAUGAGCCAAGAAGCUAGUUUGGGUUGCAACUCAAACAACUGAGCAAGUGCUCUUUCUGGAGUACUUGGGUAUGCACUAUGGGCGCUUUGUGUCUGUUCCCCCAUCUCAUCCAGGGAAUGUUAGAACGACUCAAGGGUUAAGAUUUAAUACAAUUAAGAUUUAAUACAAGCCUUUUUCAGGCUUCACCAAGGACAUUUUUAAGUGAAAUGGGUCUGUUUUCUUCUCUUUUGCCCCCAGUGUGUAGUGGUAAAUGGUACUAGCACAAGUUGGUGCUCCACCUUGAUUCAGCAACACUUUACCCACCACUUGCUUUGUCAUCCAUGCAAAUAUCAACACAAUGAAAAGGGCAAAUCACAUUUCAUUUCAGUAGUUUAAUGAAAGUAGUUUUGACCAUGUGGAAUCCCUGAAAGAGCCUGAGGGACCAUGCUUUGAGAACCACUGCCCUCGACAAGUGUGGUGCCAGCCUGACGGGCACUUGGAGCUGUCUGUUCACUGUCGGCUCUGCCCCUUUGUAUUUAUGUGCUUCGUGGCCUGGUGAUGUGGCCUGAGAUUUUUUUUAAAGGGUUUAUCAUUCCCCCUUCACCUGUAAUUUUAUCUCCCCUAAUAUCAUAGUGAGUGUGCAAGGUAUGAUGAAUGUCUUCACUUUAAGAAAAAAGAGACCAAACCUAUAUAUAUGUACGUCUAUAUAUAGAUAUAGAUACAUACAGGCUAGCUUGGCUUGCUGCAGAUGAACAAAUGAAACAGUCCGUUAUGGUUUCGCAAAUUAGAAUAUCACAGACUCUCUUCUUAUUUAAUGCCCCUGUGUUAAAAUGUUAAUAAAAGACAGUGAAUGAAUCAAGUAACCGCGUUAUAUUUUAAGAGGAUGGAGUGUUCAGCGGUGGCACAUCAGCCACCCAGGCAGGCUGUUGGCAAGACGGGCUCUGAGUUCUAAUGAAAACUCGGUCCGCCUGGUGGGGCCUUCUUUCCUACUUCCUUUUCACUGAGUUGUUCUUUCUAACUGCAGAUGAGGCUGAUUGGCCAUCUUCAUAGUAGAGUUGGAGCUUUUAAUUAUCUCUGGCAGCCCGAGAAGAGGCGAUAAGCAACACAGCCAUCAACACUUGAACAACACGUGUCGGCGCUGAUUAGCGCGGCUGGUUAGAGCGAGGACUAAUGAGGCCGAGGUCACGGACGCGGCCCGGCAGCCCAGGUAGCCCUGCCACCCUGCAAACUGCAGUCCCCGCCCAGGCAGCUGCCUCGCAGAUGCUCAUGGCCUUCUGGAAGGGGGCCAGGGAGCCACCAGCCAGCAGUCAGCACGGACUCCUUUUGUUUAAAAACCAAGCAAAAUAAAAAACAGGUUCUCUAAUGUACCACCCCCUGUGAUCCCUCUCUAGGAAUAUCAGACUUAAUUAUUCAAAUUUAAUUUGUUAGCCAUUUGGUGGUUAAUUUUUAAAAAACCUAAUGAUUUAUUAGCAUUUUUAUAACAAGCAACAUUUAAUAUCUAUUAAUGAGAGUUCAAAUGGAUCAACUAUUUAAUUUCUUAAUGAAAUGAAUCAGAAAAGUAUUACUUGGAAGAAACUCCACACUGAGCGUGUUCUCAGCAUGUUUUGUGACCUCGAUUCCUUCGUACUAUUGGAGGAGUCAGAAACGGAGGGGAGCAGGGAGCGGAUUCAGGGUCCCCACCUGACCUCCCCCAGGGGAAAGCACUGGCUUCUGAGAGGGAAGCAGGGGCUGGGGAAGGGCAUGGUGCAGAUCCCACAGUCCAAUGCCCAGGUCUCCGUGUCGGAUCACCUCCCUGUACCACAUCCCCGGGAUGCUGACCGUGCGUGGCAGGCUGGCCCCACGUCACACCCAGGGCAGGUGGAAGGUCCAGUCUGCCUUCCAGCAAAGUGCCGUGCAGAAGUACACAUGCGCACGAAUCCAGCCCUGUGCUGCCUGGCAUAUUUUGAUGGAGCCACUACUAAUAUAGUUUUUAAGCUUUUAUUUAUUUAUUCAUGAGAGACACAGAGAGAGGCAAAGGGAGAAGCAGGCUCCCUGCAGGGAGCCCGAUGCGGGACUCGAUCCCAGGACCCUGGGGUCACACCCUGGGCCGAAGGCAGGUGCUAAACUGAGCCACCCAGGUGUCCUGGGCUCUUUAUCAAACCCAGGGGCACCCUGAUUUCAGAGCAGCUGGGGCCUUCUCACUGGGUGCUAGAGGAGUGGCUACAGGAAGGACUGGCUGUGGGGUGGGCCUCCCCCAGCACGGGACACUCGGGUUAAGCUGGUCCCCUGCGGUGUAGGUAGGGGGGUGCAGGGCGCCCAGGCCAAGCAGGUGGAAGCCUGGGCUCCCCGGGUUUGCAGCCUGGAUGUGGGUCUCGAGGCCAGAGCAGAUGAGAAGCGUGGGAGCCCAGUUUAAUUGAGGAAAGGAUUAGUUGUUUCAGCCCCAGUGGCGGUGCCGGCAAACUGGGUGCUUCGGGCCCUCAAGGUGCUGCGGCCAGUUAGGGAGUCAGCUGGAACCUCGGGCGCAGGCAGCCCCGUUCCCUGCCAUCCGAUGUACUGCCAACUUGCUUUAGAGCCAUCACUCGGCUCAACUGGGGUGAUGUUUCCAUUUAGAGCCCUGCUCAGUCAGGACUCUGAAGAGGCUCAUUGUCUAGGAGUGGGCGUCCUGCCUGUCCUCUCUUGGACACCACGGUGACACCACUCACCGGCCAAGUGAGUUGUUAGUCCCUGGACUAGGGUUGGCAGGGUUCCACUGUCUCAGGAAUGGCAGCAGGGUUUGUACGGAAGAUCCUGGGCUCUUAAAAUGCAAGCUCGGCGCCUCCACAUCAGGAGCCCAGGUGCUGUUUGCGAGUCGCAUUGGUGGGUGGGCAGCAUGGUGCAGCUGACCCCGGAGAAUGUUAGAGCCCCCGGAGGAUGUUAGAGACCCUGGAGAAUAUUAGAGUUUACAGCCAGCUGGUCUUGUGGUUUUUCUCUGUGGAUGAGGGGUGUGCAGUUAAGGGGCUUACCCAGGCUUCCACAGCCUGAGAGGUAGAAUCGGGACCAGAACACAGGCGUCCCGCCUUGGAGGCCAGUGCCCCGACGGGGUCACAGGGCUAAGUACCGUGGGGUGAAGCUGGGUCUGCAGCUCAAGCGGGCAUGAGGGCACCACACUGUGGCUUUCCACCACGGGGGAGAUCCAGCCUCCUCUCUACCCUCCUGUUCUGGAUGCUCCAACCUUGCUGUUUCAUUUCUUUUUCUUUUCUAUUUUUUAAAAGAUGUUAUUUAAUUGAGACUGAGAGAGUAAGCGAGAGCACACCGUGGUGGAGAAGGAGAGGCAGAGGGAGAGGGAGAAGCAGAACCCUGCUGUGGGGCUUCAUCCCAGGACCCCGGGGUCAUGACCUGAGCCAAAGGCACCGACUGAGCCACCAGGUCUCCCAGCUGCUUUGUUUCUUGAGCACUUUUUCUCAGCAGGUUUGUCCUAUCUCCUGCAUGGAGGAAAAUUGCUUUCUGUAAAUCUUGGUCCAACAGAACAAAACACCUAUAUCUUUCGAGUUGGGGAGACAGCCAUUCUCAUCGGCAUAAUGAAGGUAUUGUAAGCUGUGACUUUUACGAAGUCUGAGGGAAACCAAUCUGCAAUCUUGACAGAUAUGAUCUUUCCGGGAUGCACUGUUCGUUUACGGUGGCGAGAGACCUCAAUUAAUUUAUGAGUGAGGACAGCAGGAUGUGACCCCUUGUGUGUAGUCUAGGUGGAGCUGUCCCUGUCUGAAUUUAUGUUCUGGUAAUUUAAAAAGAUUUAUAUUAAGCUUUUCUUUCAUUUUGAGAGUAGAUUAAAAUUCUAAUGGAAACCA